rnacentral:rRNA from 1 species
GGGUCAGUAGGUUGGUCGUGCCACCGGUACGUACUGGUCUCACUGAUUCCUCCUUCCUGAAGAACCGUAAUGCCAUUAAUUUGGUGUUGCGGCGAAACAGGACUGUUACUUUGAAAAAAUUAGAGUGUUUAAAGCAAGCUAACGCUUGAAUACAUUAGCAUGGAAUAAUGAAAUAGGACGAUCGAUCCUAUUUUGUUGGUUUCUAGGAUUGACGUA